rnacentral:rRNA from 1 species
AUUGAACGCUGGCGGCAGGCCUAACACAUGCAAGUCGAACGAGUGGCGGACGGGUGAGUAAUGUCUGGGAAACUGCCCGAUGGAGGGGGAUAACUACUGGAAACGGUAGCUAAUACCGCAUACCAUCGGAUGUGCCCAGAUGGGAUUAGCUUGUAGGUGAGGUAACGGCUCACCUAGGAGACGAACCAUAGCUGGUCUGAGAGGAUUACCAGACACACUGUAACGGAGCCACGGUCAGGACUCCUACGGGAGGCAGCGUGGGGGAAAAUGGAGAAAUGGGCGAAGGCCUGAUGCAGCCAUGCCGGGUGUAUGAAGAAGGCCUUCGGGUUGUAAAGGACUUUCAGCGGGGAGGCGUUACCCGCAGAAGAAGCACCGGCUAACUCCGGGCCAGCCGCCGCGGUAAUAC